CCUACGGGUGGCAGCAGUGAGGAAUAUUGGUCAAUGGGCGGAAGCCUGAACCAGCCAAGUAGCGUGCGGGAUGAAGGCCCUACGGGUCGUAAACCGCUUUUGCACGGGGAAAACACCCUCCACUUGUGGAGGUCUGCAGGUACCGUGCGAAUAAGGGCCGGCUAAUUCCGUGCCAGCAGCCGCGGUAAAACGGAAGGCCCGAGGGUUAUCCGGAUUAAUUGGGCUUAAGGGGAGCGUAGGCGGGCGUUCAAGUCAGCUGUAAAGUCGGGCGGCUCACCCGCGCACCGCAGUUGAAACUGGACGACUUGAGUUUACUACAGGCAGGCGGAAUUCGUGGUGUAGCGGUGAAAUGCAUAGAUAUCACGAGGAACUCCGAUUGCGAAGGCAGCUUGCCAGGGUGCGACUGACGCUGAGGCUCGAAGGUGUGGGUAUCAAACAGGAUUAGAUACCCCAGUAGUC
rnacentral:rRNA from 1 species